rnacentral:tRNA from 1 species
GAUUAUAUGGUCUAAAAAGGAUAUUAAAUUGCAAAUUUAAUGGUAAAUUAAAUUUUAUAAUCU